AACUUCCUCCUCCGCGCCUUCUGUUCAGCUCCACCCACCUCCUCCUGUAUGUUCUGGAGUCCAGCCAGCAGCCAGAAGAAACAUCGGACUGUGAGACAGACUGCAGUGUACAGAUGAGAGAUGGUACAAACUAAGGCAACUGUCAUGUGAUGUGA